rnacentral:rRNA from 1 species
UACGGAGGGUGCAAGCGUUAAUCGGAAUUACUGGGCGUAAAGCGUGCGCAGGCGGUUUGUUAAGUCUGUUGUGAAAUCCCCGAGCUCAACUUGGGAAUUGCAAUGGAUACUGGCAGGCUGGAGUAUGGUAGAGGAAGGUGGAAUUCCCGGUGUAGCAGUGAAAUGCGUAGAGAUGCGGAGGAACACCGAUGGCGAAGGCAGCCCCCUGGGCUGACACUGACGCUCAGGCACGAAAGCGUGGGGAGCAAACAGG